rnacentral:tRNA from 1 species
GCAAGAUUACCCAAGUGGUUAAGGGGCUCGCUUGAGGUGCGAGUGCAGCAAUGCGCAAGGGUUCGAAUCCCUUAUCUUGCA